GAUCCUAGCUCAGGAUGAACGCUGGCGGCGUGCUUAACACAUGCAAGUCGAGCGAAGCGCUCUGCUUUGAUUCUUUCGGGAUGAAGAGCAUUGUGACUGAGCGGGCGGACGGGUGAGUAACGCGUGGGUAACCUGCCUCAUACAGGGGGAUAACAGUUAGAAAUGGCUGCUAAUACCGCAUAAGGCCACAGCACAGCAUGGUGCAGGGGUAAAAACUCCGGUGGU
rnacentral:rRNA from 1 species